rnacentral:rRNA from 1 species
CCUACGGGCGGCAGCAGUGAGGAAUAUUGGUCAAUGGACGCAAGUCUGAACCAGCCAUGCCGCGUGCAGGAAGACUGCUCUAUGAGUUGUAAACUGCUUUUGUACGAGGGUAAACGCAGAUACGCGUAUCUGUCUGAAAGUAUCGUACGAAUAAUGAUCGGCUAACUCCGUGCCAGCAGCCGCGGUAAUACGGAGGAUUCAAGCGUUAUCCGGAUUUAUUGGGUUUAAAGGGUGCGUAGGCGGUCGGAUAAGUUAGAUGUGAAAGCCCGAGGCUCAACUUCGGAAUUGCCUCUGAUACUGUUCGGCUAGAGAGUAGUAGCGGUAGGCGGAAUGUAUGGUGUAGCGGUGAAAUGCUUAGAGAUCAUACAGAACACCGAUUGCGAAGGCAGCUUACCAAGCUACUUCUGACGUUGAGGCACGAAAGCGUGGGGAGCAAACAGGAUUAGAUACCCUUGUAGUC